rnacentral:rRNA from 1 species
UAUCAUCUGUUUCUUAAAUAUUUAUUGAAUUUGACUUUUAAGUGAAAAGGCUUAAAUAAAUCAAAAAGACGAUAAGACCCUAUAAAUCUUUACAAUAAAUAUGUUUUAUAUUUUAAUUUAUAAGUGUAUAAGAAAUAAAAAUAUAGAUUUGUUUCGCUGGGGCGGCGUAGAUAUAUAAAUAAACUGUCUAUAAUUUAAAUACAGUAAUUAUUGCUUAAUAUAAAUUGAUCCUUAAAUAGAUUAAAAGAUUAAGAUACUUUAGGGAUAACAGCGUUAUUUUUUUUAAGAGUUCUUAUCGAAGAAAAAGUUUGCGACCUCGAUGUUGAAUUAAAGUAUCUCUAUGGUGCAGCCGUUAUAAGAGAGAGUCUGUUCGACUUUUAAUACUUUA